GACGAACGCUGGCGGCGUGCUUAACACAUGCAAGUCGAACGGAAAGGCCUGCUUUCCCUUGUGGAUUGCGGGUGCUCGAGUGGCGAACGGGUGAGUAACACGUGAGUGAUCUGCCCCCAACUUGGGUAUAAGCCUGGGAAACUGGGUCUAAUUCCCGAUAGGACUGCAGGGUGGUGCCUGUGGUGGAAAACGAUUUUCUAGUGGUUGGGGAUGAGCUCGCGGCCUAUCAGCUUGUUGGUGGGGUAAUGGCCUACCAAGGCGGCGACGGGUAGCCGGCCUGGGAGGGUGGACGUCCGCAUUGGGACUGAGAUACGGCCCAUGCUCCUACGGGCGGCAGCAGUGGGGAAUAUUGCACGAUGGGCGGAAGCCUGAGGCAGCGACGCCGCGUGGGGGAUGACGGCCUUCGGGUUGUAAACUCCUUUCGACCGCGAGGAAGCCACCUGGUUGGAAGGGUGGUGACGGUAGUGGUAGAAGAAGCACCGGCUAACUACGUG
rnacentral:rRNA from 1 species